UCCCGCGUGACGCAAUUGGUUAGCGUGUCAGACUUUUAUUAAUAUUUGAAAUCUGAAAGUUAGGGGUUCGAGUCCCCUCGCAGGAG